GAUGAACGCUGGCGGCGUGCCUAAUACAUGCAAGUCGAGCGAACAGAUGAGGAGCUUGCUCCUCUGACGUUAGCGGCGGACGGGUGAGUAACACGUGGAUAACCUACCUAUAAGACUGGGAUAACUUCGGGAAACCGGAGCUAAUACCGGAUAAUAUAUUGAACCGCAUAGUUCAAUAGUGAAAGACGGUUUUGCUGUCACUUAUAGAUGGAUCCGCGCCGCAUUAGCUAGUUGGUAAGGUAACGGCUUACCAAGGCAACGAUGCGUAGCCGACCUGAGAGGGUGAUCGGCCACACUGGAACUGAGACACGGUCCAGACUCCUACGGGAGGCAGCAGUAGGGAAUCUUCCGCAAUGGGCGAAAGCUUGACGGAGCAACGCCGAGUGAGUGAUGAAGGUCUUCGGAUCGUAAAACUCUGUUAUUAGGGAAGAACAAAUGUGUAAGUAACUAUGGCCGUCUUGACGGUACCUAAUCAGAAAGCCACGGCUAACUACGUG
rnacentral:rRNA from 1 species